GGGCGAUUAGCUCAGUUGGCUAGAGCGCCACGUUUACACCGUGGAUGUCAUCGGUUCGAUCCCGGUAGGACCCA
rnacentral:tRNA from 1 species